UACGGAAGGCAGCAGUGGGGAAUAUUGCACAAUGGGCGAAAGCCUGAUGCAGCUAUGCCUCGUGUAUGAAGAAGGCCUUAGGGUUGUAAAGUACUUUCAUCGGGGAGGAAAAAACAAAACUAAUAAUUUUAUUUCUUGACGUUACCCGAAAAAGAAGCACCGGCUAACUCCGUGCCAGCAGCCGCGGUAAUACGGAGGGUGCUAGCGUUAAUCAGAAUUACUGGGCGUAAAGAGCACGUAGGUGGUUUUUUUAAAGUCAGAUGUGAAAUCCCUGGGCUUAACCUAGGAACUGCAUUUUGAAACUGAAAUACUAGAGUAUCGUAGAGGGAGGUAGAAUUCUAGGUGUAGCGGUGAAAUGCGUAGAUAUCUGGAGGAAUACCUGUGGCGAAAGCGGCCUCCUAAACGAAUACUGACACUGAGGGUGCGAAAGCGUGGGGAGCAAACAGGGAUUAGAUACCCGU
rnacentral:rRNA from 1 species